UACGGAGGGUGCAAGCGUUGUCCGGAAUUAUUGGGUUUAAAGGGUGCGUAGGCGGCUUUUUAAGUCAGAGGUGAAAUCCCACAGCUUAACUGUGGAACUGCCUUUGAUACUGGAAGGCUUGAGUAUAGUAGAGGUAGGCGGAAUUGAAGGUGUAGCGGUGAAAUGCAUAGAUAUCUUCAAGAACACCAAUUGCGUAGGCA
rnacentral:rRNA from 1 species